UGGGGAAUAUUGCACAAUGGGCGCAAGCCUGAUGCAGCCAUGCCGCGUGUAUGAAGAAGGCCUUCGGGUUGUAAAGUACUUUCAGCGGGGAGGAAGGUGUUGUGGUUAAUAACCACAGCAAUUGACGUUACCCGCAGAAGAAGCACCGGCUAACUCCGUGCCAGCAGCCGCGGUAAUACGGAGGGUGCAAGCGUUAAUCGGAAUUACUGGGCGUAAAGCGCACGCAGGCGGUUUGUCAAGUCGGAUGUGAAAUCCCCGGGCUCAACCUGGGAACUGCAUCCGAAACUGGCAGGCUUGAGUCUUGUAGAGGGGGGUAGAAUUCCAGGUGUAGCGGUGAAAUGCGUAGAGAUCUGGAGGAAUACCGGUGGCGAAGGCGGCCCCCUGGACAAAGACUGACGCUCAGGUGCGAAAGCGUGGGGAGCAAACA
rnacentral:rRNA from 1 species